UUACUUUUAAGGGUAUCAUUUGUUGUAUCUAGUCAACCUAUAUAGUGGAUGUAUAACAAGUAUUGUACAUACGAAUUUGUUUAUAGUUUAUGUUACAUUUUUUUUUUACAAAUAUAAAUAUAUAUUUUUUAGUCAAAGUUAAUCCCCAUUAUGUAAACUAAAACUUUGGUAACUUUAAUAAUUCCUCAAAUGUCAACAUUCUCCACGUCCCUAUUCACUAUUUGCAGCAGGGUGUAGGGUUCGAAUCCUAUCCCUUACCUUCACUAAAAAUUUGUAACUUUUUUCUGAUUUUUUUUUUAUAAUUUGUUUUCCCCAAAAGGUCCAUAUCCCUUGAAACCCUAACCCAUUUCCAUUCUUUAUCUCAUUCUCACUCUCUCUCCUUCCUCAUUCGGCGGCAAGAGGUAAGACUCCAAGCAAAAACUUGCUCACCUUCAUCCUUUGUUCAAGUUGAAGAAGAAUGUCAAUUAGGAGAUUUGAGUUCACAAUCGACACUCGUCGACGCUUACGAAAUGUGCCUCUUCCAAUGCGUAUGAGUCGUCGGGUUAAAGAAAUUUGUUCCAGGUCGAAUGAUCAACGUGAAGCAAAAUUCCACCUUCAAGUUGGAAGUGACCCAAACACAUACAUUGUGCAUUUGAAAGAUAUUACCUGGGGUGAUGGUCUGGUGGAAACUUAUUUAAGUGACGGAUGGGGGACUUUGUAAGCUCAAAAAACUUGAAAUUGGGAGACACUAUUCUGCUGUCAGUAGAGGAUUUGGAGGAAUUGGUGUAUAAGGUAAGGAUCUGGCGUGAUGAAAUUGAGUUAACAGCUGAAAAACCAAGCGUUCAAGGGGUAGAAGUGAACCAAACCCCCUCCUUCAUGUUCCAUUUCACUAAAGGCUACAUUGACAAACCGACAAUUAACGUUCCGACUCCCUUUGCUCGAGCACAUUUUGGAGACCUCGAAGACCCAUGUGAAGUUAAGUUGGUAUUGUCUUCGACCUAUGAUGCAACAAUGCAUAUUUAUUAUGAUUGCAAAGGCAGCAUUGUAGCUUGCAGCAUCAAGAGAGGAGUCAAAGAAUUCAUGGACGCCGAAGGUGUUAAACUCGGUGAGAAGGUUUUGGUUGAGUUGGUUCAAAUGGAUCCACAUGUUUUAAGUUUACGCUUUACUUGACUGACCAUCCUUAUGCAUCUCCUUGGUGUUUUUAACCACAUUUUGUGUGUUAUCAAACAAUAUUUCGGCUAUUAAGUAAUAGUGUUUUGGUGUA